rnacentral:rRNA from 1 species
CAAUGAGCCUUCUCCUUCAUCGCUGGUGCCACCUGUUCCACCAAGGGUCUCUGCUAGACCGAGCACUCCCCGACGUGCUACCUCUCUUCUAGCUCUAACAAGCGGCCUAGCACGUAUCUUCCUGCCGCGGCAGCCGCGAAGCAGGUACCUUCCCUGGAAAUGGGUUCCAAUAGAAGGCUCGUUGCCGAGAAUAGGCAAGGACCAGCGAUGAGUGAGGCUGCCUCCGGUCCCUCGAAAACCAAUGACGACGAUAGGCUACCCUCUACCAUCGAGCCCUAUAUAAGUCGGCCAAACCUACCGCCAGCACAUUGUCCUAUCCGUUAAUCAAAUGGACAGAUAAAACCUCGGUUUGCCGACACUACAUAUUCACGAAACCGAUCGAACACA